UCGAGGGGCAGCGGGGAGGAAGCUUGCUUUCUCCGCCGGCGACCGGCGCACGGGUGAGUAACACGUAUGCAACCUGCCCCUGUCAGGGGGACAACCCGCCGAAAGGCGGGCUAAACCCGCGUACAUGCCACCGGGGCAUCCCGGAGGCAGGAAAGGCUUCGGCCGGACAGGGAUGGGCAUGCGGCGCAUUAGGCAGUAGGCGGGGUAACGGCCCACCUAACCGACGAUGCGUAGGGGUUCUGAGAGGAAGGUCCCCCACACUGGUACUGAGACACGGACCAGACUCCUACGGGAGGCAGCAGUGAGGAAUAUUGGUCAAUGGUCGGGAGACUGAACCAGCCAAGCCGCGUGAGGGAGGAAGGUACAGAGUAUCGUAAACCUCUUUUGUCAGGGAACAAAGGCGGGGACGUGUCCCCGGAUGAGUGUACCUGAAGAAAAAGCAUCGGCUAACUCCGUGCCAGCAGCCGCGGUAAUACGGAGGAUGCGAGCGUUAUCCGGAUUUAUUGGGUUUAAAGGGUGCGCAGGCGGUCUGUUAAGUCAGCGGUCAAAGCCCGGGGCUCAACCCCGGCCCGCCGUUGAAACUGGCAGUCUCGAGUUGGAGAGAAGUAUGCGGAAUGCGCGGUGUAGCGGUGAAAUGCAUAGAUAUCGCGCAGAACUCCGAUUGCGAAGGCAGCAUGCCGGCUCCACACUGACGCUGAGGCACGAAAGCGUGGGUAUCGAACAGGAUUAGAUACCCUGGUAGUCCACGCAGUAAACGAUGAAUGCUGGCUGUCCGG
rnacentral:rRNA from 1 species